rnacentral:rRNA from 1 species
UGGGGAAUAUUGCACAAUGGACGGAAGUUUGAUGCAGCGACGCCGCGUGGAGGGUGUAGGCCUUCGGGUUGUGAACUCCUUUUUCUCGCGAAAAAGGCACAGUUUUGGCUGUGUUGAUGGUAGUGGGGGAAGAAGCGCCGGCUAACUACGUGCCAGCAGCCGCGGUAAUACGUAGGGCGCGAGCGUUGUCCGGAUUUAUUGGGCGUAAAGAGCUCGUAGGUGGUUCGUCGCGUCUGUCGUGAAAGCCAGCAGCUUAACUGUUGGACUGCGGUGGGUACGGGCGGGCUUGAGUGCGGUAGGGGUGACUGGAAUUCCUGGUGUAGCGGUGGAAUGCGCAGAUAUCAGGAGGAACACCGAUGGCGAAGGCAGGUCACUGGGCCGUUACUGACACUGAGGAGCGAAAGCGUGGGGAGCGAACAGG